AUUGAACGCUGGCGGCAUGCUUUACACAUGCAAGUCGAACGGUAACAGGCCGCAAGGUGCUGACGAGUGGCGAACGGGUGAGUAAUGCAUCGGAACGUGCUCAGUCGUGGGGGGUAACUACUCGAAAGAGUAGCUAAUACCGCAUACGAUCUAUGGAUGAAAGCGGGGGACCGUAAGGCCUCGCGCGAUUGGAGCGGCCGAUGUCAGAUUAGGUAGUUGGUGGGGUAAAGGCUCACCAAGCCAACGAUCUGUAGCUGGUCUGAGAGGACGACCAGCCACACUGGGACUGAGACACGGCCCAGACUCCUACGGGAGGCAGCAGUGGGGAAUUUUGGACAAUGGGCGCAAGCCUGAUCCAGCAAUGCCGCGUGCAGGAAGAAGGCCUUCGGGUUGUAAACUGCUUUUGUACGGAACGAAACGGCUCUGGUUAAUACCCGGGGCUAAUGACGGUACCGUAAGAAUAAGCACCGGCUAACUACGUG
rnacentral:rRNA from 1 species